rnacentral:lncRNA from 1 species
UUGCGUCGUCAUCAAGCAGCAGUAGUAGCGUCUCCGGUCGUCGUCGAUCUGCCCGUCACCCCUUCCGCGUUCGGCCUCGGGACUGUACCCGUCACAGAUCUGUGCCGCGCAUGUCGUCCGCCAGCGUCCACCAAAUCCAAGCCGUCGUCAAAGGCAUUGGGUCUGAAGAAACGAAUUCACAAAGUACAGAGGAGGGCAAAGUUUGUCAGUUGUGUUAAUACUGUCAUACGGCACCAUGCUGGAACUGGGGUGAAGUCAUUCAUCAUCAAGAAAAACCUCAAUAAUCAGAAGUACACCCAUUAUCUUGACCGUUGGAUGUACUUCGCAGUCAGUUCAGGUGCCAAGGAACUGACUCUUGACUUACGUCCACAAAGGUUUAUUAAUUACCGUAAUAUCCAAUACAACUUCCCAUCAUCUAAUUUUGCUACCCCCAUGCCUACCUCCGUAGAACAUCUGAAGCUCUUGUUUUGCUAUUUGAGGCCUUCACCAACAUUUUUUGGCUUGAGUAACAGCUUUGUACGUAUAACUAAAGAAGAUUUGGAGAGCUUGUUAAGCUAUACAUUUUCCUUACAAGAGUUGAAGUUAAGUCAGUGUCCAAACAUAGAUCACUUGAGGAUCCCUGAUGUGCCAUCUAAGCUCAACUACCUUGAUAUUGAUUUAUGCUGGAUAAGAGCACUGGAAAUACACAUUCAAAAUCUAGUUAUCUUUAAUUACCAUGGAAGUGUUCGCUUUAGAAUCAUACAAGGAGAAGGAUCUUUGUUUAAAGAGGCACGGUUUCAGUUCUCGUGUGGGGACGCUAUAGAGUAUGCUAUCACAGAAAUGGCUUCAGCUUUGCCAAAUCUUGAAACGCUGUUUCUGAUUGGAUUUUCUAAGAUGGUUAUUCCAACCAGAGAUCCAAGACAUAGGUUCCAUUGCCUGAAGCACUUACAGCUGAAAAUGAUAAUGCUCUCAAAGAAAUACAAUAACCUCUGCCUUGUUUCUUUUCUUGAUGCUGCGCCAUUUUUGGAAUCACUUAUUGUGCAUGUAUGCAACGGAUCACUUUAUUAUCCUGGAAAGAAAACAGACUUGAGAAGGCUCGAGAAACGUGAACCGCAUAAAAACCUCAAAUUUGCGAAGAUGACCGGGUUUGAUGGAGAACGAUCAAGCAUUGAGCUUGCACUGCACAUCCUGGAGAGCUCAACUAACCUUGAGUGCCUCAUUCUGGAUCCUAGAAAAUAUAAAUCCGAGUGGAAAUAUAUUUAUGAAGAGAACUUGCGCGAUGUUCAGUGGAGAGUACAUAAUUUCACUAUUUCGGAAUACAUUGCAGAGGCAGUUCCUUCACAUGUUAAAUUAUUGUUUUCAUGAUUCUCAGGUAUGCGGCUAUAACCAUUGUCUUGAACUCUCCACCACAUUUGAGAUCGGGUUUGAGUUAUGAAGCCGGCCAUCUGCUGGUGUUGUCGUGCUCAUAGUUUUGCAUUUAUGGUGGUGCCUUUUUCUUUUGGGGAAAAAAUGUAUAUGCUCACUUCUCACAUGUACCAUUAAUUCUUGGUGUUGCUAGCUUAUCUCAAGCACAUAUCAGACAAUGAAUAUUUUCAUCCAGACUAGUACUAGUAGUUAUGCAAGUUCAAAAGGUUGAAUUUC